rnacentral:tRNA from 1 species
GCCACGGUGGUCUAGCGGUUAGAACGCUGGCCUUGUAAUCCUGGGGUCCGAGAUUCGAUUCCCGGCGGUGCCG